AUCAGUUUCAGUUCAAACCACACCAAGUUAUUCAAACAGUUUUUGCAAUUAAGUGUUCUAAUUAAUCAUAAAAAAGUUAAAAUGCGGUUCUUCAAAAUCACUUUUCUUGUUAUUUUCGUUACUUUUGUAGGUGUUUUCAGUUUCGUUACAGCAGCACAAACUGAAAUGGGGGACUUUGGCAUGGUAAUGGACAACAUUGAUGAGAUGGUACAAGGAAAUGAUAACAAAACUGCAAAAAGUCCAGAAAAGUCAAUCAAUCCAAAUCCACCUGGGAGCGAAAGUGAAGAUGAUCAGCCCCAAUCUAUGGGUACUUGAGCUUAUUACCUUGAUAGCACCUAGUUACGGGACCUUGUUGGGUAAAAGAAUGAAAAAUUAAACUCAAUUAUUCGCUAUCAAGAAAAUCUUCUGCUGUUCCUGAACUUUAAAACUUCCGAAUUAUAUUAAAAAUGAUUUUCAAAGUAA